AACGAACGCUGGCGGCAUGCCUAACACAUGCAAGUCGAACGAGACCUUCGGGUCUAGUGGCGCACGGGUGCGUAACGCGUGGGAACCUGCCCUUAGGUUCGGAAUAACUCCCCGAAAGGGGUGCUAAUACCGGAUAAUGUCUUCGGACCAAAGAUUUAUCGCCUUUGGAUGGGCCCGCGUUGGAUUAGCUAGUUGGUAGGGUAAAGGCCUACCAAGGCGACGAUCCAUAGCUGGUCUGAGAGGAUGAUCAGCCACACUGGGACUGAGACACGGCCCAGACUCCUACGGGAGGCAGCAGUGGGGAAUAUUGGACAAUGGGCGAAAGCCUGAUCCAGCAAUGCCGCGUGAGUGAUGAAGGCCUUAGGGUUGUAAAGCUCUUUUACCCGGGAUGAUAAUGACAGUACCGGGAGAAUGAGCUCCGGCUAACUCCGUG
rnacentral:rRNA from 1 species